rnacentral:rRNA from 1 species
GCGCAACCCUUGUCCUUAGUUACCAGCACGUUAUGUGGGCGACUCUAAGGAGACUGCCGGUGGCAAACCGGAGGAAGGUGGGGAUGACGUCAAGUCAUCAUGGCCCUUACGGCCUGGGCUACACACGUGCUACAAUGGUCGGUACAAAGGGUUGCCAAGCCGCGAGGUGGAGCUAAUCCCAUAAAACCGAUCGUAGUCCGGAUCGCAGUCUGCAACUCGACUGCGUGAAGUCGGAAUCGCUAGUAAUCGUGAAUCAGAAUGUCACGGUGAAUACGUUCCCGGGCCUU